GCCCGUGCAAUGCCCAGCAACCAAUGACCGCGCACUCGUAAUGAGGGUAGGUCAGCGGUUCGAGUCCGCUCGUCGGCU
rnacentral:tRNA from 1 species